rnacentral:rRNA from 1 species
CAGCCGCCGCGGGAAUACGUAGGGUGCAAGCGUUAAUCGGAAUUACUGGGCGUAAAGCGUGCGCAGGCGGUUAUAUAAGACAGAUGUGAAAUCCCCGGGCUCAACCUGGGAACUGCAUUUGUGACUGUAUAGCUAGAGUACGGCAGAGGGGGAUGGAAUUCCGCGUGUAGCAGUGAAAUGCGUAGAUAUGCGGAGGAACACCGAUGGCGAAGGCAAUCCCCUGGGCCUGUACUGACGCUCAUGCACGAAAGCGUGGGGAGCAAACAGGAUUAGAUACCCCCGUACCCUGUCUCUUAUACAC